rnacentral:rRNA from 1 species
CACGUAGGGCGCAAGCGUUGUCCGGAAUUAUUGGGCGUAAAGAGCUCGUAGGCGGUUUGUCGCGUCUGCUGUGAAAACCUAAGGCUCAACCUUGGGCUGGCAGUGGGUACGGGCAGACUAGAGUGCGGUAGGGGUGACUGGAAUUCCUGGUGUAGCGGUGGAAUGCGCAGAUAUCAGGAGGAACACCGAUGGCGAAGGCAGGUCACUGGGACGCAACUGACGCUGAGGAGCGAAAGCGUGGGGAGCAAACAGG